CGCAGCAUCUCCUUGACUCCCUCAGAGAGACACACACGCGUACAGAUCCACGGGCACUUGAGUAGUGACAUGUGCCUUUUCCACAGAAGUCCCCUGCGACUGGAGGAGGUCCCACCCAUCAUCUCCUCUGCCAAAAAAGCAGGAACCAGCUGAGGGCAGCUCCCAGGCCUGUCUGCCCACCCCCAGCACGUCCCAGGCCUCCUGGGUUUUGCAAGCCUCUCAGCCCCUCGGCCUGGUUGCUCAUUGCGGAGGUGUUGGGUGAAUGAUUUGCUCCUUUUCUCUGACUCUCAAUAAAUAAGCAAACUUGCACAAACCAGCCCAGACGAAUCGCAGAGGACCCAUCUCGAAACGUGGGAAACCAGCGCUGCUAUUUUUAGGAAAAGGGUGGAGAAUGGAGGAUGGACCAGCCCAGGAGAAGGCACAGCCAUCAGCCACUUCACCCAGUAGCUGAGCCACUCACGGCCCCGUCUGCGAUGAAGACAGAAGGUCCACCUCCGCUAGUACCGCAGAAGCUCAAAGAGGAACACAUAACUCAUACAAGGUUAAAGAGGCCGGCUCCAGAGCGAGCGCUGUGCGAGGAGAUGCUCUCUCUCUAGCGGCAUUCUGGGCGAUUACUCCCGAGCACCCAGCCAUACCAAAAUCAAUAAACAAUUUCAGCGCAGCCCAGGGAACUUUGCCACACUUAAUAAAAGUCUCCAGCUGCA